rnacentral:rRNA from 1 species
GCAUAUCAAUAAGCGGAGGAAAAGAAACCAACAGGGAUUGCCUUAGUAACGGCGAGUGAAGCGGCAAAAGCUCAAAUUUGAAAUCGGCCAUCAGGUCGAGUUGUAAUUUGUAGAUUGUACUUUGAGAGCGGAUUAAAGUCUGUUGGAACACAGCGCCUUAGAGGGUGACAGCCCCGUAAAAUCUAUUCUCAUUGUAAAGUACUUUCGAAGAGUCGAGUUGUUUGGGAAUGCAGCUCUAAGUGGGAGGUAAAUUCCUUCUAAAGCUAAAUAUUGACGAGAGACCGAUAGCGAACAAGUACUGUGAAGGAAAGAUGAAAAGCACUUUGAAAAGAGAGUGAAAAAGUACGUGAAAUUGUUAAAAGGGAAGGGUAUUGAAUCAGACGUGGUGCUGUUGUUCAACUUUGUUUCGGCAUGGUGUACUCAGCAGUACUAGGCCAAGGUGGGGUGUUUGGGAGUGAAAAAGGAAUAGGAACGUAGCUCUUCGGAGUGUUAUAAAUCUAUUUUCAUAGCUCCCUCAGGCGCCUCAGGACUGCGCUUCGGCAAGGACUUUGGCAUAAUGAUUCUAUACCGCCCGUCUUGAAACACGGACC